CAGUCGCCGCGGGAAAACGGAGGGGGCUAGCGUUGUUCGGAAUUACUGGGCGUAAAGCGCACGUAGGCGGCUUGGUAAGUUAGAGGUGAAAGCCCGGAGCUCAACUCCGGAAUUGCCUUUAAGACUGCCGAGCUUGUAGGUGAGAGAGGUAAGUGGAAUUCCGAGUGUAGAGGUGAAAUUCGUAGAUAUUCGGAAGAGCACCAGUGGCGAAGGCGGCUUACUGGCUCAUUCUAGACGCUGAGGUGCGAAAGCGUGGGGAGCAAGCAGGAUUAGAGACCCCCGUAGUCCCUGUCUCUUAUAC
rnacentral:rRNA from 1 species